GCAAGCACAAGCAAGAGAAGAACAGAGGGAGAAAGAGGGAGAGAAUCCCAAACUGGCUCCAUGCUCAGGCAGAGCCCAACAUUCUCACGACUGAGGGAUCAUGACCUGAACUCAAAUCAAGAGUCGGAUGCUCAACCAGCUGAGCCACCCAGGUGCUGCAGAUUAUUUGCUUUUUGGAUGCUUCAAGUAUUAAACAGAUUCUGGCACUGGCAGAUUUUUGAAAACCCACCCUUCGCUGCAGUUUUACCUCUCCAAGAUUUUUCAGUAUCAAGCAUGUGAAUGAGCCAGUGCCUUCUCUCUGGGAGAGUGCAGCUCCAGCAAAUGAAGAUCAAGGACCUCCAGCCAUCAUUCUUGGGGAUGGUCAUAGAGAGUUAGAGACUCUGCCUAUUAAGAGAGACAGGAAGCCAAACCAGCAUGUAGAACCGAAAGAGACCCAAAGGCAAAGAAUGGGCUUUGGGCACCUGUGGCGCUAGGGGUGAAAUCACAAAGGAACAACGUGCAGCAUCAUUGACUGACCAGUUAUUGGAUUUAGGCAUUGGCAACAAACAAAACAAAACACACUGAGGACAACAGCAUAUGCACCUGAGGUGGUGACAGAGUUCGGAUUUCUACUUAUGGGGAAUCAGUAUUAAAUGCCCCUUUUCAGGGUGCCUGGGUGGCUGUCGGUUAAGCAUCCAGCUU